rnacentral:rRNA from 1 species
CCUACGGGAGGCAGCAGUGAGGAAUAUUGGUCAAUGGACGAGAGUCUGAACCAGCCAAGUAGCGUGAAGGAUGACUGCCCUAUGGGUUGUAAACUUCUUUUAUAUGGGAAUAAAAUGUUCCACGUGUGGGAUUUUGUAUGUACCAUAUGAAUAAGGAUCGGCUAACUCCGGGCCAGCAGCCGCGGUAAUACGGAGGAUCCGAGCGUUAUCCGGAUUUAUUGGGUGUAAAGGGAGCGUAGGUGGAUUGUUAAGUCAGUAGUGAAAGUUUGCGGCUCAACCGUAAAAUUGCAGUUGAAACUGGCAGUCUUGAGUACAGUAGAGGUGGGCGGAAUUCGUGGUGUAGCGGUGAAAUGCUUAGAUAUCACGAAGAACUCCGAUUGCGAAGGCAGUUCACUGGACUGCAACUGACACUGAGGCUCGAAAGUGUGGGUAUCAAACAGGAUUAGAUACCCCAGUAGUC